rnacentral:lncRNA from 1 species
AGGCAACCCACGAGGCAGUCCACUUGCUCUGCCAAAUGCUCGUCUUCAACCCUGACAAGCGCAUAAGCUGUGCGGAUGCCCUGUCGCACCCUUACCUGGAGGAAGGACGGCUGCGAUACCACUCGUGCAUGUGCCGCUGCUGCCAGAGCACACCGGCGGGUCGCCACUAUGUGGCUGAUUUUGAACCUGUCGCACCACAUGCCUUCGACGACUCUUUCGAGACUGAACUUCUCUCCGUGCACCAAGUGAAAG